AUGAAUCUUAUGUUGAUUUGGGUUUUCCUUGUUGCUUUUUUAAAAGGUGUCCAGUCUGAGGUGAAUCUUGUGGAGGCUUUGGGAGGCAUCGUGAAGCCUGGGGAAUCCCGUAGACUAUCCUGUGUUGCCUCUGGAUUCACUUUCAGUGAUUACUGGAUGCAUUGGUUUCGCCAAGCUCCAGAGAAGGGGCUGGCAUGUGUUGGAGAGAUUAAUAAAGACAGCAGUACAACAAACUGUGCACCAUCUGUGAAGGAUCGAUUCACCAUCUCAAGAGACAAUGCCAAGAACACUCUGUACCGUCAAAUGAGCAGUGUGAGAUCUGAGGACACAGCCACUAAUUACUGUGCUAUAUACACAGUGAUGGGACUUCAGUGUUAA